ensembl:lncRNA
GUAACUGCAGCCUGGAGCAAUGGGUGUGCCGAAAGGUAGGGGCGUGCCAAAAGGUAGGGGCGUGCCAAAAGGUUUCUCAUUGGUCAAAGGAGUUUUACUGUGUUGGCCAAUCAGCGGUAAAUAUACAUGUACGUAAUUUCCUUUAGACAAGAGAAGGUGGCGGCGAUAAGACAUGGUGUAAUUAUUCAUCACACCUUUAUCUAUGCUUUAUAUACCACAAAUAUGUAUAUUAAGAUAGCUUGUUACAAUACGAUCAUAAUUUUCCCUUUGCGUUAUAUCUUGCAGCUUUAGUAAUUGGUUUAUUGUUGUUGACAGACAUACUGUAUGUACAGUGAGACAAAACGAUGACCGCAUCUGCAUCGAAGCUCUCAGAGUUGAUAGUUUGUAUCGGCGUCCUUUUUGUGCAAUACAGUACAGAAUACAUCCUGUAAGUAUAAUAAUUAUUACCACUUCUGCUAUUACAACUGUACUAAGAUCAAUGCACAAUCUAUGAAGACGAUUAGACAAAAUCAAAAAACUAAUUCAGAGUUUGUUUCUACCUUUCUGCUAGGUAUCCAACUAAUGCAGAGUAUAUUCAAGUUGCCAACACACUGGUUGUGAAGAACCCUUUCCAGAGAAAUAUAAAAGGAAAUGACUGUCACACCUGACACAUCCCUAAACCGGAAAUUUAAAGCAGAACGUGCACCACUCGCAGGUUAUUGUAGCAUAUGAAACUUGUGUUGGGGAGGAUUCAGUGUCUUUUGAGAACCAUGUGAAUGUGCUACAAAGUGAGUAUCAGAAAACACCUCCAGACACCUGGACUGUCAAAGACCACACGGCAGGAACAUUCUCCUGGAGACGCUGAGAAAUCACGGAAGGAAUGUCUGUGGAGGAUGUACUCAAAAAACACCCAUACUUAAGGACACCUGCCGGAUUCUGCACUGUAUGUAGCUACACUGUCUGAGCCAAAGAGGAUGGAACAGAAUCUGAUGAAUUUGAAAAGUGUCUUCUUUUUUUUUAAAUUAUUAUUAUUUUUUAUUAAAUUUUAUUUUUUAUUUUGUGAAGGGGGACCCUGCUACACCCUUUCAUACCAUACAGCUGAUGGAUACUGACUGAAAAAUGGCAAUCAUAGGAGGAGGGUUCAGUGUGAUGACAGAAGCUGGAAUAGACAUGUGCCAGUGCACCAGCCUUGAUGAAGCCUUCAUAACAGCCUUCUGGAUGUAUUCUGCUUUCAACAUUGCAUAUCCAACACACCUGAGAAAAACACUGACUUUCCUUCAGAGGCACAUUGUCAACAUUGUGGAAGAUGGAGACAAGCACUGCCAGUAACUUUCCUCUGAGUGAUCAGCCUUUUGUAUUAGAUCCUCAUGCCUCAACUGUACCAUUACACAAAGUGCACUCGAAGGACAUUCACUCUUUUGAAGUUAAUCCAACAUGUUGGAGUUGCACAUGCACAUGAACCAAAUUUUAGUAUAACCUGUGGUAUCAUUGACUGGAAGUCUGUCAGUCCAGAUGUGAGGAAGACCUACAGAGUGAGUUUGAGCUCAGCAGGUGUGAUGGCUGUGGAUACAUCUACAGAAACACCACUGGAUACUGUAGCCAUGGAAAGAAG